rnacentral:rRNA from 1 species
AGUCGAACGGCAGCAUGGACUUCGGUCUGUAUAGAGUGGCGAACGGUGAGUAAUGACGGAACGUGCCUAGUAGCGGGGGAUAACUACGCGAAAGGUAGCUAAUACCGCAUACCCUUCGGGGGAAAGUGGGGACCCUCGGGCCCCGCACUGCCGGAGCGGCCGAUAUCGGAUUAGCCAUUGGUGGGGUAACGGCUCACCAAGGCGACGAUCCGCAGCUGGUCGGAGAGGACGACCCAGCUACGACUGGGACGAGACACGGCCCAGACUCCUACGGGGAGGCAGGGGAAUUUUGGACAAUGGGGGAACCUGAUCCAGCCAUCCCGCGUGUGCGAUGAAGGCCUUCGUCAGAAGCACUUCUUGGCAGGAAAGAAACGGUACGGGAUACGACCCUGUGCAACUGACGGUACCAGAGUAAUGCUGCAAUUUGCUUUAACUACGUGCCAGCAGCCGCGGUAAUACAUAGGUGCAAGCGUUAAUCGGAAUUACCGGGCGUAAAGCAUGCAGGCGGUUCGGAAAGAAAGAUGAAAUCCCAGAGCUAACUUUGGAACUGCAUUUUUAACUACCGAGCUAGAGUGUGUCAGGAGGGAGGUAAUUCCCGCGUAGCAGGAAUGCGUAGAUAUGCGGAGGAACACCGAUGGCGAAGGCAGCCUCCCUGGAUAACACUGACGCUUAUGCACGAAAGCGUGGGGAGCAACAGGAUUAGAUACCUUGGCAGCCCACGCCCUAAACGAUAACUAGCUGUUGGGGCUUCGGCCUCGGUAGCAGCUAACGCGUGAAGUUGACCGCCUGGGGAGUACGGUCGCAAGAUUAAAAACUCAAAGGAAUUGACGGGGACCCGCACGCAAGCGGCGUGGAUGAUGUGGAUUAAUUCGAUGCAACGCGAAAAACUGCGACUAUUCUUGACAUGUCUGGAAUCCCGAAGAGAUUUGGGAGUGCUCGGAGAACCGGAACACAGGUGCCGCAUGGUUGUCGUCAGCUCGUGUCGUGAGAUGUUGGGUUAAGUUCCGCAACGAGCGCAACUCUUGUCAUUAGUUAUACAGGGCACACCGGUCGAGACUGCCAGGUGACAAACUCGGAGGAAGGUGGGGAUGCACGUCAAGUCCUCAUGGCCUGAUGGUAGGGCUUCUUCACGUCAUACAAUGGUCGGGACAGAGGGUCACAACCCGCGAGGGGGAGCCAAUCCUAGAAACCCGAUCGUAGGUCCGGAUCGCAGUCUGCAACUCGACUCGGGUGAAGCUUCAAUCGCUAGUAAUCGCGGAUCAGCAUGUCGCGGUGAAUAUGCCCUGGCCCCGAAGACACCGCCCGUCACACCAUGGAGUGGGUUGACCAGGAAGUAGUUAGCUCGGUUCCAAGGAGGGCGAUUACCAUGGUAGGAUUCAUGAUCAAAGGGAAGUCGUACUGGCGUGC